rnacentral:tRNA from 1 species
CAGGGAGACAACAAAAUGUAAAUAUUAAUUUUGUCACCUUAGGUCGAUCGGUAUCUCAGAUUCUUAUUUUUUAAGAAUUUCAGUUUCUAAGUUUUUUCUAGGUCACACCCAUUACUUUUUCCUGGGCCAUUAGCUCAGGUGGUUAGAGCGCACCCCUGAUAAGGGUGAGGUCCCUGGUUCAAGUCCAGGAUGGCCCAUAUCUCUAUGUUGGGGGUAUAGCUCAGUUGGUAGAGCGCCUGCUUUGCAAGCAGGAUGUCAGCGGUUCGAGUCCGCUUACCUCCACUGAAUACCACCUCUUACAUAUUAUUUAAAGAGGGAAAUUGUUUUGAGUCGUGUCCUAAUUUGCUCUGAGCGAAUCUAGCUUCCUAUUUUCUUUAAUAAAAUAAGAUGCUGGACUCAUUGAAAUUUUUCUCAUUGUUUUUCAGAGAACCUUGACAACUGCAUAGAUUAUUUUUGAAGACAAUAAGCAUCUUUAAUGAUGCAGAUUUAUUAUUUGUGCUAAUGCAUUAAAUAACAAUUCUAUUAAGCUGAUGCUUCAAUUAUUGAAGUUAUU